rnacentral:rRNA from 1 species
CCUACGGGAGGCAGCAGUGGGGAAUAUUGGACAAUGGGCGCAAGCCUGAUCCAGCAAUGCCGCGUGAGUGAUGAAGGCCUUAGGGUCGUAAAGCUCUUUUACCAGGGAUGAUAAUGACAGUACCUGGAGAAUAAGCUCCGGCUAACUCCGUGCCAGCAGCCGCGGUAAUACGGAGGGAGCUAGCGUUGUUCGGAAUUACUGGGCGUAAAGCGUACGUAGGCGGUUAUUCAAGUCAGAGGUGAAAGCCCGGGGCUCAACCCCGGAACGGCCUUUGAAACUAGGUAGCUAGAAUCUUGGAGAGGUCAGUGGAAUUCCGAGUGUAGAGGUGAAAUUCGUAGAUAUUCGGAAGAACACCAGUGGCGAAGGCGACUGACUGGACAAGUAUUGACGCUGAGGUACGAAAGCGUGGGGAGCAAACAGGAUUAGAUACCCUGGUAGUCCACGCCGUAAACGAUGAUAACUAGCUGUUCGGCACUUGGUGCUUGAGUGGCGCAGCUACGACAUUAAGUUAUCCGUCCGUCGGGUAGGUACGGUCGCGAGAAGUUAAACGUUAAAAGGUAAAGUUAGACGGUCGUGUAGUUACGUUGUCCGAACGGACGACGACGAGGGAGGAGGAG